AUGAACGCUAGCGGCAGGCCUAAUACAUGCAAGUCGAACGAGAUUGAGGAGCUUGCUCUUCAUGAAAGUGGCGCACGGGUGCGUAACGCGUAUGCAACCUACCUUAGUCAGGGGGAUAGCCUCUCGAAAGAGAGAUUAACACCGCAUAAAAUCACAGUCCGGCAUCGGAUAAUGAUCAAAUAUUUAUAGGAUUAAGAUGGGCAUGCGUGACAUUAGUUUGUUGGUGAGGUAACGGCUCACCAAGACUACGAUGUCUAGGGGAUCUGAGAGGAUGACCCCCCACACUGGUACUGAGACACGGACCAGACUCCUACGGGAGGCAGCAGUAAGGAAUAUUGGUCAAUGGGGGCAACCCUGAACCAGCCAUGCCGCGUGCAGGAAGACGGCCCUACGGGUUGUAAACUGCUUUUAUACGGGAAUAAACCCCUUUACGUGUAAAGGGUUGAAUGUACUGUAAGAAUAAGGAUCGGCUAACUCCGU
rnacentral:rRNA from 1 species